rnacentral:rRNA from 1 species
UCUAAAUCGGGGCCGAGGUGCGCGGAAAUAGAGAGGGGGGUGGGGUUGCUCGGAAGUACGGGGCGUAAAGCUCACGUAGGCGGCUUGUUAAGUCGGGGGUGAAAUCCUGGAGCUCAACUCCAGAACUGCCUUCGAUACUGGCGAGCUUGAGUUCGGGAGAGGUGAGUGGAACUGCGAGUGUAGAGGUGAAAUUCGUAGAUAUUCGCAAGAACACCAGUGGCGAAGGCGGCUCACUGGCCCGAUACUGACGCUGAGGUGCGAAAGCGUGGGGAGCAAACAGGAUUAGAUACCCUUGUAGUC